rnacentral:rRNA from 1 species
AGGCGACAGCUAUCGGAGUCCGAUUAAGCCAUGCGAGUCGAGAGCCUUCGGGGCUCGGCGUACCGCUCAGUAACACGUGGACAAUCUACCCUGUGCUGGGGGAUAACCUCGGGAAACUGAGAAUAAUACCCCAUAGGUCACCACGCCUGGAACGGUGGGUGGCCGAAAGUUGCGGCGGCACAGGAUGAGUCUGCGGCGUAUCAGGUAGUAGUGGGUGUAAUGGACCCACUAGCCUUCGACGCGUACGGGUUGUGGGAGCAAUGGCCCGGAGAUGGAUUCUGAGACACGAAUCCAGGCCCUACGGGGCGCAGCAGGCGCGAAACCUUCACACUGCGGGAAACCGUGAUGAGGGGACUCCGAGUGGCCAUACAAUGUGUGGUCUUUUCCUCACUCUUAAUAGGUGGGGGAAGAAGGGCUGGGUAAGACCGGUGCCAGCCGCCGCGGUAAUACCGGCAGCUCGAGUGGUCGCCACUCUUAUUGGGCCUAAAACGUCCGUAGCCGGUCCGGUAAACCCGUGGGUAAAUCAAGCGGCUCAACCGCUUGAAUUCUGCGGAGACUGCCGGACUUGGGACCGGGAGAGGUGCGAGGUACUCUCGGGGUAGGGGUAAAAUCCUGUCAUCCCGAGGGGACCACCUGUUGCGAAGGCGUCGCACUAGAACGGCUCCGACGGUCAGGGACGAAGCCUGGGGGCACGAACCGGAUUAGAUACCCGGGUAGUCCCAGGUGUAAACGCUGUGGACUUGGUGUUGGGGAUCCACUAGGGGUUCCCAGUGCCGGAGCGAAGGUGUUAAGUCCACUGCCUGGGGAGUACGGUCGCAAGGCUGAAACUUAAAGGAAUUGGCGGGGGAGCACAGCAACGGGAGGAGCGUGCGGUUUAAUUGGAUUCAACGCCGGAAAACUCACCAGAGCCGACGGUCAGAUGAAGGCCAGCGUGACGAGCUUGCCGGAUCGACCGAGAGGUGGUGCAUGGCCGUCGUCAGUUCGUACCGUAAGGCGUUCUGUUAAGUCAGAUAACGAACGAGACCCUCAUCCCUAUUUGCUAUCGGUCUCUCAGGAGGCUGAGCACUAUAGGGAGACCGCUGGCGCGAAGUCAGAGGAAGGCGAGGGCAACGGUAGGUCAGUAUGCCCCGAAUGCUCUGGGCCACACGCGCGCUACAAAGGACGGGACAAUGGGCUGCCACACCGAAAGGUGACGCGAUCCCGAAACCCGUUCGUAGUUCGGAUCGAGGGCUGUAAUUCGCCCUCGUGAAGCUGGAUUCCGUAGUAAUCGUGUCUCAAAAUGGCACGGUGAAUAUGCCCCUGCUCC